rnacentral:piRNA from 1 species
UGGUGUUUCAGAGACCAAGGAAGGUCAAGUUU